CCUACGGGUGGCAGCAGUGGGGAAUAUUGCACAAUGGGGGAAACCCUGAUGCGGCGACGCCGCGUGAGGGAGGAAGUAUUUCGGUAUGGAAAGCUCUAUCAGCAGGGAAGAAAAUGACGGUACCUGACUAAGAAGCCACGGCUAACUACGUGCCAGCAGCCGCGGUAAGACGGAGGGGGCAAGCGUUAUCCGGAUUUACUGGGUGUAAAGGGAGCGUAGGCGGCUAAUCAAGUUCGAAGUGAAGACCCAGGGCUCAACUUUGGGACUGCUUUGGAAACUGAGUAGCUAGAGUGCAGGAGAGGGAAGCGGAAUUCCUGGUGUAGCGGUGAAAUGCGUAGAUAUUAGGAGGAACACCAGUGGCGAAGGCGGCUUACUGGACUGUAACUGACGUUGAGGCUCGAAAGCGUGGGGAGCAAACAGGAUUAGAUACCCGAGUAGUC
rnacentral:rRNA from 1 species